AGAACCUUCCAGAAGGACAACCAUCUCUACAGCACUCCACCAAUCAGGCCUUUACGGUAGAGUGGCCAGACGGAUGCCACUCCUCAGCACAUGACAGCCCGCUUGGAGUUUGCAAAAAGGCACCUAAAGACUCUCAGACCAUGAGAAACAAGAUUCUCUAGUCUGUUGAAACCAAGGUUGAACUCUUUGGCCUGAAUGCCAAGCGCCAAAUCUGGAGGAAACCUGGCACCGUCGCUAUGGUGAAGCAUGGUGGUUUUUCAGUGGCUGGGAUUUGGAGACUAGUCAGGAUCUAGGCAAAGAAGAACGGAGCAAAGUACAGAGAGAUCCUUAAUGAAAACCUGCUUCAGAGAUCUCAGGUCAUCAGACUGGGGUGAAGGUUCACCUUCCAACAGAACAACGACCCUAAGCACACAGCCAAGACAACGCAGGAGUGGCUAUGGGACAAGUCUCUGAAUGUCCUUGAGUGGCCCAGCCAGAGCCCAGACUUGAACCCGAUCAAACAUGUCUGGAGAGACCUGAAAUAGCUGUGUAGCAUCACUCCCCAUCCAACCUGACAGAGCUUGAGAGGAUCUGCAGAGAAGAAUGGGAGAAACUCCCCAAUACAGGUGUGCCAAACUUGUAGCAUCAUACCCAAGAAGACUCAAUGCUGUAAUCGCUGCCAAAGGUGCUUCAACAAAGUACUGAGUAAAGGGUCUGAAUACUUAUGUAAAUGUGAUAUUUCAGUUUAUUUAUAUAUAUAAAUUAGCAAAACAAUGGGGUGCAGAUUGAUGAGGCUGUAACACAAUGUGGAAAAAGUAAAGGGUUUUAAUACUUUCCAAAGGGUGUGUGUGUGUGUGUGUGUGUGUGUGUGUCUGUGUCUGUGUCUGUGUGUGUGUCUGUGUGUGUGUGUGUGUGUGUGUGUGUGUGUGUGUAAACAGGUGUUGUAAUAGUUCUGCACAAGGACAGGUCAUUGACAGAUAAUACACUUCUUAUAGAUUACGUGGGCAUGAUGAACAGCACCUCUGGUUCACAUAUGAUUAACAACAUUAGUCAAGUGUUUUCCUCACCUGGUGCAGCAGAAGAACACGUCUACAACUUGUUUGUGAAGGCCAACGCCAAGAUGGUGGCAACACCCGUAGAUGUCACAGUCGAUAAAGGGAAGCCGACUCAAAGAACGGAACGUCGUAAAAUAAUUAUGACAAUGGAAUCCACCCUCAGGAAAAGCCUUUACUUGAGAAGUCCAAAUUAAUCUGCUGUUAAAACAAUUGAACAGAAGGGUAGGAAAGUAGAUUUAUUUGAGCUUUCUGUUCUCAGCAUUACUUAUACAUGUUAUGUCCUUGCUCUAUUUUUUCAAAGUCAGAAACCAUAAUGUCUACAAGGUCUUCCCACUGUAAUAUCCCCUUUACAUUUUAAGAAAUUCUUAAACCAGUAGUCAGAUAAAUGUACAGAUUCUUCAGUGGUCACCAACCUUUGAGUCAAAACUGCAAGCCAAGAUCUACCACUCAGAUUUUUAUUUUAACAUGACUUAAAAAAACUUAAGCCUUAACAUGAACCAAUUAAAGACAGUACUGGAGCAUUGGGGUUUGUGCAGUAGGCAAGGCACAAUACAUUAUCGCUGCAUAUUGGCUAUGCUUGGAAUUGCCCUGCCAAUGUUAUUCUUCAGAGACCAUUUUGAAGUAUUAUAUGAAACGUGUAGGUAUAUAACGACACUGUUAAUAACAACACGUGUUGUAUUACAUGUGAGACACAGCUGAGUGAGCAUAAUCAUUUGUAUUUUUUUGUUUUGUUUUACCGGACUGAUGGCCUGCAUAUGAUGGUCAGUCUGAGGGGAGGGAGGGAAGAGCGGAGAGGCUGCCUCUCUCCUGACCCACCGUCUCUCUGCUCUCCCUCCCUCCCUUAGAAAAGGGGACACAGCUGAUAGUGAAGCUCAAGAACACACUGCAUUAUUUCUGCCUCAUGCACCAAUUCAUGUUGUUACUCCUGAGACCAGAGAAAGUGCAAUAUUCCUCCAUAUUAAAAAGACAAGCCUCUAAUAAUAACAAGGCAAGUUUAUGGGAACACUUUCCUAUACUCCUUCAUAGCAGCUGCAGUGCUGGUUGUAGCGUCAGUGGAAGUAGGAAGAAUGUGCAUUUUCUGGCUUAUGAAAGUGUUGACAGUCGUGAAUAACAGAAAACAUGAACUUCCUCAUAAAAACAGCAGCUCUUUGCUGUAUUCAUUGAGUCUCUAGACAUGGUUUUAAACGUUGUUAAAUCUCACAGUGUAAACGUUGCUGUGCGUUCCAGGUUUCGGUCUAUAGUCUAUGGCUCGAGGAAACUGCAGACACAGUGAUUGGUCAGUGGUAGGCCUAUAGGUGCACUUGAUUUGCUCUCUGGGCCUGCCGGGUAGGCGGAGUGUUACCUUCAGACACAUAAAAUGGGAAGACUUUGCCUUCCACAGCGCUAGGGCUGCUGAAUCAAGUGCACCUAAACGCCAACAGCGUGAAACCAAAAAUAUAUAAUAUAGAGCUUCAUCCACAGAGUUUCUAAACCCAGAGGUGCAAAAUCGGGAGGCUUCCGUGUAAACUUGUGAAACAGACCAAACAGACCAGGCCGGGGGGUUUGAGAAGUCAAUGAGAGAAGGGAAAAGUCUUCCUUAGUUGUACAUUUUCUCCUGAUCUAAAGGAACAUUCUAGAUUUGAACCAAUGUCCUCAGUAGUUGAACAUGUUAUUACUAGAACCUUGUGAAAGUGGCAAACUGAAACCUUUUCAUUUUCGUCAAAAACAACUUUAUAUCGAAGGAGUGCCUUUGAAUUAACGGUCUGCACAUGCUCAAUUCAGUGCCAGACGGCCAUUAGACCCGAUGACGUGUUCCUCUGCAUGAGCUCAGCUAGCCAACGCCGCCAUGACAGGGAUUUCUAUUGGAGAAGCAGUUUUAGUCUUCAUACUGUACUGUCUCUGCUUUAUCGUUGGGAUUAACAGAAAUGUUUGGUGAUGCCUUGGAGAUCAACCAGUUGGUGACCACUGACUUCAACUGUAAAGUUGCAACCAUUUAAUUCCUUUUUUGGGUGAAAAAUGUCAUUGUUGCUAUAAUUUAAUGUUUUUUCUCGACACUAUAGAGAAAUAAAAAGCUUUCACAUGAUUUUCCCAUUUUGUCUUCCUUUGUGUCUAAGACUUUGGUACUUCAGCAAAAACAAAUUCAAUAUUAUUUUAAAA
ensembl:lncRNA